GACGAGGGGUCCUAGCGUUGUUCGGAAUCACUGGGCGUAAAGCGUAUGUAGGCGGGCUUCUAAGUCAGUUGUGAAAUCCCAUGGCUCAACCAUGGAAUUGCAUCUGAAACUGGAAGUCUUGAGUGUGGGAGAGAUUGGUAGAAUACCUGGUGUAGUGGUGAAAUACGUAGAUAUCAGGUGGAAUACCGGUGGCGAAGGCGGCCAAUUGGCCCAACACUGACGCUGAGAUACGAAAGCGUGGGGAUCAAACAGG
rnacentral:rRNA from 1 species